rnacentral:tRNA from 1 species
UCGGGUGUAGCUCAAUCGGUAGAGCGUCGGAUUUUGGUUCCGAAGGUUGGGGGUUCGAGCCCCUCCACCCGGU